rnacentral:rRNA from 1 species
GACAGAGGGUGCAAACGUUGCUCGGAAUUACUGGGCGUAAAGCGCGUGUAGGCGGUUCCGCCAGUCUGGUGUGAAAACCCGGGGCUCAACCCCGGGCCUGCAGCCGAUACGGGCAGACUAGAGUUCGGCAGGGGAGACUGGAAUUCCUGGUGUAGCGGUGAAAUGCGCAGAUAUCAGGAGGAACACCGGUGGCGAAGGCGGGUCUCUGGACCACAACUGACGCUGAGGCGCGAAAGCUAGGGGAGCAAACAGG